CACACCGCCCGUCACACCAUGGAAGUCUGCUGCGCCAGAAGUAGGUAGUCUAACCGCAAGGGGGGCGCCUACCACGGUGUGGCCGAUGACUGGGUG
rnacentral:rRNA from 1 species